AAAAUGCCUACACGUGAUUGGCCUGUAGACAAGUCAAGUACAUUUUCCUGAUUGAAGAUUGAUAUGAAAAGCUACAGCCUACUGGGGCAGUGCCACCCCUGGGCAAGUAGUCCUG
rnacentral:miRNA from 1 species